AUUGAACGCUGGCGGCAGGCCUAACACAUGCAAGUCGAAUGGUAACAGGAAACAGCUUGCUGUUUCGCUGACGAGUGGCGGACGGGUGAGUAAUGUCUGGGAAACUGCCUGAUGGAGGGGGAUAACUACUGGAAACGGUAGCUAAUACCGCAUAACGUCGCAAGACCAAAGAGGGGGACCUUCGGGCCUCUUGCCAUCAGAGGUGCCCAGAUGGGAUUAGCUAGUAGGUGGGGUAACGGCCCACCUAGGCGACGAUCCCUAGCUGGUCUGAGAGGAUGACCAGCCACACUGGAACUGAGACACGGUCCAGACUACUACGGGAGGCAGCAGUGGGGAAUAUUGCGCAAUGGGGGCAAGCCUGAUGCAGCCAUGCCGCGUGUAUGAAGAAGGCCUUCGGGUUGUAAAGUACUUUCAGCGGGGAUGAAGGGAGUAAAGUUAAUACCUUGGCUCAUUGACGUUACCCGCAGAAGAAGCACCGGCUAACUCCGUG
rnacentral:rRNA from 1 species